UUUGGGACUUGAAUCAGUCUCCCAAAGGAGCAUCAGAGCAGAUUUUGAUGCUGGCACCAGCCUUUGACUUCUGCUUGGCUGACCCCAUCUCUUGGAUCCCUGCUUGACUGACAGCCCAAUUCUGUCGAGCCCUUCUCUAUAAUGGUCAUUACAAACAACCCUGAAGUGGCUGGAAUAUAGUCAGCAAGGGGCCCACAUGAACAGCUCAUCUGGAAUCUUUGCAAAACUGUGCCGACUUCUCUGGUGGCUACGGCUGCGGCUACGGCUGCUGGAGCGGGACCUGUGGCGAUGACGUUUCUCCCGAGAUUUGGAUCGAGUUCUCCUCUUGCGUUCACGUGACAUGGAGCGAGAUCGAUGUCUGCGAUGCUCUCUGGACCUGGAUCUACCAGACAAGAUUUGAUUUUGUUUUUACUUUUGUAAUUACUACAUUUCCAUUUAUUAAAGCCUUUUCUUUCUUUAAAGAGAAACUUUCAGUAGUCUUAAUGUCAAUUAUAUUCCAAGUCAGCUAAAUCUACACUAAAUUGCUGGUGUGUUAAUAACUACAUACUAGAAUUCAAAAUAAAUCAAUAAGUCUCAGCCAGGAGCCAUGGCUCACACCUGUAAUCCCAACACUU